GAGGCUAUAUACAGGGGGUACCGGUACAGAGUCAAUGUGGAGGCUAUAUACAGGGGGUACCGGUACAGAGUCAAUGUGGAGGCUAUAUACAGGAGGUACCGGUACAGAGUCAAUGUGGAGGCUAUAUACAGGGGGUACCGGUACAGAGUCAAUGUGGAGGCUAUAUACAGGGGGUACCGGUACAGAGUCAAUGUGGAGGCUAUAUACAGGGGGUACCGGUACAGAGUCAAUGUGGAGACUAUAUACAGGGGGUACCGGUACAGAGUCAAUGUGGAGGCUAUAUACAGGGGGUACCGGUACAGAGUCAAUGUGGAGGCUAUAUACAGGGGGUACCGGUACAGAGUCAAUGUGGAGACUAUAUACAGGGGGUACCGGUACAGAGUCAAUGUGGAGACUAUAUACAGGGGGUACCGGUACAGAGUCAAUGUGGAGGCUAUAUACAGGGGGUACCGGUACAGAGUCAAUGUGG
ensembl:lncRNA